rnacentral:piRNA from 1 species
UGAGAGACAUGAGCUCCCUGCCAGC